UGGGGAAUUUUGGACAAUGGGCGCAAGCCUGAUCCAGCAAUGCCGCGUGCAGGAUGAAGGCCUUCGGGUUGUAAACUGCUUUUGUAGGGAACGAAACGGCUCUGGUUAAUACCUGGGGCUAAUGACGGUACCGUAAGAAUAAGCACCGGCUAACUACGUGCCAGCAGCCGCGGUAAUACGUAGGGUGCGAGCGUUAAUCGGAAUUACUGGGCGUAAAGCGUGCGCAGGCGGUGAUGUAAGACAGAUGUGAAAUCCCCGGGCUCAACCUGGGACCUGCAUUUGUGACUGCAUCGCUGGAGUGCGGCAGAGGGGGAUGGAAUUCCGCGUGUAGCAGUGAAAUGCGUAGAUAUGCGGAGGAACACCGAUGGCGAAGGCAAUCCCCUGGGCCUGCACUGACGCUCAUGCACGAAAGCGUGGGGAGCAAACA
rnacentral:rRNA from 1 species